rnacentral:rRNA from 1 species
AAACGACUCUCGGCAACGGAUAUCUCGGCUCUCGCAUCGAUGAAGAACGUAGCGAAAUGCGAUACUUGGUGUGAAUUGCAGAAUCCCGUGAACCAUCGAGUCUUUGAACGCAAGUUGCGCCCCAAGCCAUUAGGCCGAGGGCACGUCUGCCUGGGUGUCACGCAUCGUCGCCCCCCCAACCCCCCGCCAUGGGGGAGCUGUCGGAGGGCGGAAAAUGGCCUCCCGUGCGCUACCGCUCGCGGUUGGCCCAAAUUCGAGUCUUCGGCGACCGUGCCGCGACCUUCGGUGGUGAGAACAAGCCUCUCGAGCUCAGGUCGUGCGCCCGUGUCUCCGUGUCAAGGGCUCUCGGACCCCUAAGCGCGCGUCGCUCGCUUCGCGACCCCAGGUCAGGCGGGAAUACCCGCUGAGUUUAAGCAUAUCAAUAAGCGGAGGAAAAGAAACUUACCAGGAUUCCCCUAGUAACGGCGAGCGAACCGGGAAGAGCC